UAGAGUAUCUGCAUCUAAAGUGAAAAGUCACGAGGUUUGACAGUUCUAAAUUAAAAAUGUCAUACUGUGUCUGUCCUUUUCAUAUUACAUUGGUAAGAAGGGGAUGCGAAUACUCUUUUAGUUGUAAUCAGAAUCAGUACCACUGUCUCAAAUCCAGUA